rnacentral:rRNA from 1 species
AUGGACACUGGGGAUCGCUUGGGGGACCUCACGGAUGACAUCCUCUGGCAUGUGCUCUCCUUUCUAUCGGCCAACGAGGCCCUGCAUACCUGCGUGUUGGACACCCGGUGGCGUGAUCUCUGGAGGCACACGACCAGCCUGCUCUUCGUAUUUGAUGGGUCAAUGUUCCCAAGAUACAAGCGUUUCGAACAGUUGGUGAAGCUGGUCAUCCAUCUCCGCGGGGAAUCGCCUCUUGUCACGUGCAAGAUCGAUGCAUAUCCCGACGAUGACCCCGAGCACACUUUCACAAACACCAAGCUGUUGAUUGAUUACGCACUGGUGUGCAAAGCUGAGGAGCUAGUAGUAAGAGCUGCAGACAUUCGGUAUGACAUACCAAUGUUUGAUGUGCCUCUCAAUCUCAUCUCCCAACACUUGAAGACCUUGCACCUUGAACGGGUCAACCUCGACCACUCUGAUUUGAAGUUCUCAGGGUGCCCGGUGUUAGAGGAUCUAAGUAUCCAACUUUGCAGCAUUCGUGCAGGCGAAAUAUCAUCCAUGUCACUAAAGCGUCUAUCCAUCACCAACGUUUGUUAUUUACGUCACGAUGUGCGCAUUCGGAUUUGUGCCCCGGGUCUCAUCUCACUACAACUAGAUGAUUUCGAAGGAUUGACUCCUUGCCUUGAAAACAUGCCAUUGCUAGAAACAGCUUAUGUUGGGCUUGGCGAUGGAUGCUAUGAUUUUUGUCGCGAUGGCCAGGCGGACUGUAAUUACCCUUACUGUGGUUGUCAUUUUUAUCCUGUCAACAAUGGGGUGCUUCUCGGUGGUUUGUCCAAUGUUGGCAAGUUGGAGUUGAUAGCUGUACCUAAAAUGUUUAUCUACAAAUGGGAUUUAGAGGGCUGCCCAAUAUUUUGCAAAUUAAGGACUCUGUUACUCAAUGAGUGGUUCACAACUAUUGGCCUAGUUUGCAUUCUCCAGCAUUCUCCACUUCUUGAGAUGCUCACUCUCCGGCUUGGUAAUACGGAGAGCCUCACAGGAGAAAUGGGGAUCCAAGAAAUGAUCCAAAAAUCAUUUGUGUCUGCGCACCUCAAGGUUGUCAACAUCGAGUGUAAAGAGGUUGAUGAGGGAAUUCACAAAAUUUUGAAGAUCUUGAGGAUAGGUGGCAUACUUCGCGAUCAUAUUUGCAUCAAG